UUGAAUCGAGAUCCGACUAUAAUCAUUAGUGAUUCUGAUGGAGAAGAUAAUACUUCUGAUUCAUCUGACUUUAGCGGGCCUUCAUCUAAACGGAGAAAGACACGGUCCAGAAAGAGAGGUAGUAAAUCCAAGAUAGAAUCUGCAGACCUGAGUGGUGUAGAGAGUGCGCUGGAGUUCGACCUGAGUGGUGUAGAGAGAGCGCUGGAGUUCGAUCAAAGUUGUGUAGAGAGAGCGCUGGAGUUCGACCUGAGUGGUGUAGAGAGAGCGCUGCUGGAGUUUGAUGAUGAGUUAUUUCCAAUGGUUUCUGCUGAAGAGGCUCCAUUUGAUUUACCUUUACCUAAGCUGCCAAGGAAGAAAAAAGCAAAGAAGACAAAAAAGGGAGAUCCUAAACCAGUGUUGUUAUGGCAUGCUUGGAAACAGGAACAUGAGAAGUGGAUCGAUCAGAAUUUGCUGGAAGAUGUUACCCUCGAUCAGAGUGAAGUGAUGAAUGAGA
rnacentral:lncRNA from 1 species